GGCUCGAUGGUUUAGUGGUAUAAUUCUCGCUUAGGGUGCGAGAGGUCCCGGGUUCGAUUCCCGGUUGAGCCC